CCUACGGGCGGCAGCAGUGAGGAAUAUUGGUCAAUGGACGAGAGUCUGAACCAGCCAAGUAGCGUGAAGGAUGACUGCCCUAUGGGUUGUAAACUUCUUUUAUAUGGGAAUAAAACGUUCCACGUGUGGGAUUUUGUAUGUACCAUAUGAAUAAGGAUCGGCUAACACCGUGCCAGCAGCCGCGGUAAUACGGAGGAUCCGAGCGUUAUCCGGAUUUAUUGGGUUUAAAGGGAGCGUAGGUGGAUUGUUAAGUCAGUUGUGAAAGUUUGCGGCUCAACCGUAAAAUUGCAGUUGAAACUGGCAGUCUUGAGUACAGUAGAGGUUGGCGGAAUUCGUGGUGUAGCGGUGAAAUGCUUAGAUAUCACGAAGAACUCCGAUUGCGAAGGCAGUUCACUGGACUGCAACUGACACUGAGGCUCGAAAGUGUGGGUAUCAAACAGGAUUAGAUACCCCAGUAGUC
rnacentral:rRNA from 1 species